rnacentral:rRNA from 1 species
CCAGACUCCUACGGGAGGCAGCAGUGGGGAAUAUUGCACAAUGGGGGAAACCCUGAUGCAGCGACGCCGCGUGAGUGAAGAAGUAUUUCGGUAUGUAAAGCUCUAUCAGCAGGGAAGAAAAUGACGGUACCUGACUAAGAAGCCCCGGCUAACUACGUGCCAGCAGCCGCGGUAAUACGUAGGGGGCAAGCGUUAUCCGGAUUUACUGGGUGUAAAGGGAGCGUAGACGGUAGAGCAAGUCUGAAGUGAAAGCCCGCGGCUCAACUGCGGGACUGCUUUGGAAACUGUUCAACUGGAGUGCUGGAGAGGUAAGCGGAAUUCCUAGUGUAGCGGUGAAAUGCGUAGAUAUUAGGAGGAACACCAGUGGCGAAGGCGGCUUACUGGACAGUAACUGACGUUGAGGCUCGAAAGCGUGGGGAGCAAACAGGAUUAGAUACCCCAGUA